rnacentral:rRNA from 1 species
GUCCACCCUGUCUUCCACGUUUCGCAGCUGAAGCCAUUCACCCCCGACUAUACGCCGGUGUACGGCGAGCUGCCCAAGGUGCCGGACCUCUCCGUCGACACCCUCACACCUACGCGCAUUUUGGACAGGCGCAUGAUGAAGCAUGGCGACGCGUCGGUGGUGUAGCUCAAGGUGCAGUGGGGCACCGGCGACUCCGCGCCGACGACGUGGGAAGACUACGACGUGCUCCGCCACUGUUUCCCGUCAGCACCGCUCUGGACGAAAGUAGAGGACAACGACGACACUGAAAAAGAAGAAGACGUGUCUUAA